AUGUCACUCACAGUGCACUUACACGCAGGCGAUCAACUUAUACCAUGUUGGAUACGCCGAGGAUCGCUGCCUCGCCCACGGCCAUCGGUUCCUCUCCUGCUCAUCGGGCCGGGAACCGGGUGCGCGCCGUUCCACGCAUUCGUGGAGGAAAGGGCCGCACAGAGCGCAGCGGAGCCAACUACUGCUCCUGUUAUGUUCUUCUUCGGCUGUAGAAACCAAGACAGCGAUUUCCUGUACAAGGACUUCUGGCUGAAACACGCCCAGGGGCAAGGAGGGGUGCUGUCCCUAGACAAGGGCGGCGGUUUCUUCGUCGCCUUCUCUCGGGAUCAACCUCGGAAAGUGUACGUGCAGGACAAGAUAAAGGAGCAGGGGGCGAGAGUGCUGGACAUGCUGUGCUCCGAGUCGUCCAAGGCUGCGAUAUACGUCGCCGGGUCUUCGACCAGAAUGCCCGCCGAUGUUACAGCGGCGUUGGAAGAAGUUCUAUGUCAAGAAGGCGGUGUUCCGCGGGAGGAUGCUUCGGGGUGGCUCAAGGAUCUCAAGAGGGCUGGUAGGUUUGUCGUUGAGACCUGGUCGUGA
rnacentral:rRNA from 1 species